rnacentral:rRNA from 1 species
UACGUAGGGGGCAAGCGUUAUCCGGAUUUACUGGGUGUAAAGGGGGCGCAGACGGCGAUGCAAGCCAGGAGUGAAAAUCCAGCGCUUAACGUUGGAAGUGCUUUGGAAACUGCCAGGCUAGAGUGCAGGAGGGGCAGGCGGAAUUCCAAGUGUAGCGGUGAAAUGCGUAGAUAUUAGGAGGAACACCAGUGGCGAAGGCGGCCUGCUGGACUGCAACUGACGUUGAGGCUCGAAGGCGUGGGGAGCAAACAGG